rnacentral:rRNA from 1 species
GAGUAAAAAGUCGUAACAAGGUUUCCGUAGGUGAACUGCGGAAGGAUCAUUACCGAUUCGUAACACCUAACACACUGUGCACUCGGUCGCUGCAUGGCAGCUCCUUUCGGGGUUGAGCGCUACUGCUCAUUAAAUCGGAGGCGCGCUUUUCCGAGCGCGUGUUCCGGGCCCCGAUCGGAGUGUGCGUGCAGCGGUUUUUCACGGCCACUUCGCUGUGGCACUCGUGAAACUUUUACCAACCUUGCAAAUUUGCAGACUGUACUGUUGGUCAAGCUUGUCUUGAUGAUGAAAAUCAUGGACAACUUUCAACGGUGGAUCUCUUGGCUCGUGGAUCGAUGAAGAACGCAGCAAAACGCGAUAUGUAGUGUGAAUUGCAGAAUUCAGUGAAUCAUCGAAUCUUUGAACGCAAAUGGCGCUCCUGGGUAUUCCCAGGAGCAUGUCUGUCUCAGCGUCGUUUUCACCUCGAGCACGCUUUCGGCGUGGUUGUCUUGAGGCGUCUGGUUGCGCGCUCUGUGUGCCGCCAGUCCCUUGAAAUACAGUGGCCGGACAGUGUGUGCUCUCGGGUCGGUUCGCCCCGAUUUCGCUCGCACGGCUGAUGGUGAGAUUUCAUUAUCUCCCUUGUCGUGUCGCAGCGGCCUGUGGGUGGAGCCUGGCUCCGAGAAUUGGCCUCCUGUCCGAAGAAAGCCAGUCUGGAAAACACGCGCUCGUUUCGCAAGGAACGAACAUCUUCGACCUGAGAUCAGGCAAGACUACCCGCUGAAUUUAAGCAUAUUAAUAAGCGGAG